UAGAGUGUGGUGUAGUAGGUAGCACGGAGAAUUUUGAGUUCUCAGGCAUAGGUUCAAGACCUAAGGCUCUAG
rnacentral:tRNA from 1 species